CUAGCCUGCUCNCUGACAUAAAGUGUUAAAUAGCCGCGGUAUCUUGACCGUGCAAAGGUAGCAUAAUCAUUAGUUUCUUAAUUGGGAACUUGUAUGAAUGGUUGGACAAAGAAAAAUCUGUCUCUUGCACUGAAAUUGAAUUUAACUUCUAAGUGAAAAGGCUUAGAUUAUCCAGAGGGACGAUAAGACCCUAUAAAGCUUUAUAAAUUUAUUAAUUUCGUUUAUUUUUUGUUAUAAUAAUGAUGAUAAGAGAAUUUAUUUGGUUGGGGCAACCGAAGUAUAAUUUUAAAUAACUGCUAUAAUUUAAUACAAUGAUUUUUGUCUUAUACAAUAAUUGAUCCUCAAAGAGAUUAAAGACCAAGUUACUUUAGGGAUAACAGCGUAAUUUAUCCUGAGAGUUCUUAUCAAAGGAAAAGUUUGCGACCUCGAUGUUGAAUUAAAAUGUCUACCUAGUGCAGCAGCUAGGAAAGAAGGUCUGUUCGACCUUUAAUUUUUUACAUGAUC
rnacentral:rRNA from 1 species